rnacentral:lncRNA from 1 species
GGAACUUCCGGCGUCCUCCCUGUGGCGGGCACUUUGGCUUGUGUCAGUUCCAUCCGCGGGUGCCGGAUCUGGACCUAGGUGCUGACAGCGAGAAGGCGCGAGGAGAGUCGUUUUCUCAGCUGCACAGCCGGGGCCUGACGGUCGCCGGCGGUGGUGACAGCUUUGCUCUUGUCUCCGCCCGGAUCGUCCACCGCUCCCGGCCCGCUCCGCCCAGAGUCCGAUGGCGGCGGCACUGAGGGCCCCGACCCAGGUAUUAUUGAGUGUUUUCAAGAAUGAAAAGAGGCCUGGCAUGGUGGCUCACAUCUGUAAUCCCAACUUUUUGGGAGGCUGAGGUGGGAGGAUCCCUUGAGCCCAAGAGUUUGAGGCUGCAGCAAGCUAUGAUCGUGCCACUACACUCCAGCCUGUGCAACACAGUGAGAUCCUGUCUCCAAAAUUAAAUAAAUAAAUAAAAUUACAUUUUGGAGACU